GCACAUUCCAGCACAUAAAAUAAAAUAUUUUUUUGUGUUUACACUCACUCUUUCAAAUAGAUGAAAGUAAAACACAGCAGAAAAUAAAUAAAAUCAAAGACUAGCGGUCCUGUUGCUCUAUUUUCACCUGUAAAGCAGGACUGGGUUAGGCGGAGGUUUACCCUGGUGCAGGUGUGCCGCAGCGGUCAGUGGAAGAAUCCGCGAGUUUCUCUGUGAAUUUCCCAUUACAGUCGUAGCGCACUCGGUGCUUGCUUGGAAGUUUAGGGGUUUUUUUCGCUGUAAAAAGAAGUUUUCUUCCCACGCACAAUGGACACUAAUGUUUUUGUUACUUUUUAUGGAAUCAAACUCAAAAUAAGUAUGAGGAAGCAUCCAGUUACAAUCUCUAUCUCACACACGGGAAACCUGAGGACUGUUUAUGGCAUCUUUUUACCCUCUGGCUGUGCAGAGUUUAAGAUGGUACCCAGUGAAACUCCAUCUCUGCAGGUUUAAUAUUUAAAGACUGUUUAGAGUUUGGUUCCCAUAAGAGAUCAGGGUCAUCUCUUCCUCCUGAUCAGCACAGCAGCAUCCUGGCCUGAAUCACAUCGAAGGGAUCUGAGCUGCUCUGACAAACAGGUAGUUCUGCUUUUUUUUCUCUCUUUUUUUACAUUUUUGUAUUUAAAUAUACAUUCAUUUGCAUAUUUUUACACUUUAGUGGAUGCUGUUAUAGUAAAUUUGCACAAGUUUAGUAAAGGAAGCUGAAGAUUUGUUCUGAUACGGCACUGUGAAAUGAGAGAAUCUGAAAAUAAAAAUAGGUCCACACUGAAAGUUUGGGAUUUUCAGUUUUUCCUGUUCUGAAGCUUGCAGCUUAUAGUAGCUUGGAGAGGCUGACUGAAGGAUUACACUCCUUGAGUGAAACUGCUGAGUGGGCAUUUUGACAUCUGCACAUAGUUUGAGGGCGCAAUAGAAAGUUCAAGAUAUAGAUUAAAAUAUUUGAGGAUUUUCAGUUUGUAAGUUCAUUUUUUUUAGCUUUCAAAACUCAACAUGAUCUUUCCUUUUUGUGUGUUUCAGACGUGUCCACUCUCAUGUGUCAACUUAACAGAGAUCAACCUAAAGAAUAGCAGUGACCUGCACCGCAUAUUUAUAUACACAAUGUACGUGAACUCUCCCGGAGCUGAGAGUGGAUCCUAUUCACUGACCUUCCUGGGAAAGAAAGUAGGAAGACAUCGAUCUGUAGCUCCUGCAGGCAAGCAAUUUGCCUGGGAGACGACUGUCAGGUCUGCUUGCCCCGAGGACCGCGUGGUGUCCUCGAGGGCUGCUAAAGUCCCUGUGGCAGCGCAGACGCUGGAAGAGCUACCAGGCAGUGUACCAGAGCUUCAAGAUGAAAGGCCAUGCCCGAUUAUUCACAACACACAGCUUGACCAGUUUGAGAAAACCACAGCAGGUGUUUCUGUGAGGAAAGUUACAACAUGACAACACACCCACAUUCCUGUACGAGGAAUAAAAGAGAGGAGAGGGUGGGAUGGGUUCUGCAUGACACGGAGAAUGAUGAAGUUGUCAAACAGGGCCAACUUGUGGAAUAUUUUAGAUAAGGCUGAGAGUGGUAAAGCUUCGAACUGAAAGAGAAAGUAAGCCAGAACUAACUUUUUAGUUAACUAGAACAUAUUAAUUGUGUUAUAAUCUACUUUUUGAUUGC
ensembl:lncRNA